CUGGCCAUUCUUCAACAAUGUGGAGAGAAGGAGAGGGAGCAGAGAACAGCUCCUCCCUAAGUCUGGGCCUGGCUGAGAAUGACUAGCUUUUGACUGAAGCUUUAUGAGAUUUCAUUUUCAUUCUCUGUGAUGUGACCCAAAAAAGCUGUCAACAGUGGAUCCAGUCUCUUGGACCAGCUGCUGGCCCAUAGGGAGACCAGGCCUCCCUGAGAGUUCUCACCUUCGGAAGGACCUGAGCCCUAGGACCGUGCCCCAGGACUACCUGACAUGAUGACUCCUUGCUGUCCCCAGUCCACCUGACUGUGCUGCUGCUCCAGUUUCAACUGUUCUGCCUUAUUAUUAUUCGACCAUGCUGGUCAUUUAUGAACAUUUGAACAUCUUGGCCAUGUUCUGUUAUAAUCUCCACCCGGCACAGCCAGAAGAGGACUGGCCACCCCACAUAGCCUGGUUCCUCUCUAGGUUUCUUCCUAGGUUUUGGCCUUUCUAGGGAGUUUUUCCUAGCCACCGUGCUUCUACACCUGCAUUGCUUGCUGUUUGGGGUUUUAGGCUGGGUUUCUGUACAGCACUUUGAGAUAUCAGCUGAUGUACGAAGGGCUAUAUAAAUACAUUUGAUUUGAUUUGACUUAUGAGGCCAUGCAGACUAGAUGCAGACUGCACCUUGCUCAUUGUUCAAAGUGCACGUCAAUGCCUUCAGAGUCCUAACAUUCCCAUAACCAACAGAUGUAUGUCCAAGAGGAAAUAUAUAGACCACUGUAGGUUUCAGUUCUGUUUGGUCUGAACACUCAAGACAUUAGAUAGGUUUAACACAUACAGUAUAUAGACCUACGGUGGGUGCAGUAAACACAUUCUUCUGCAUAAGGCUAUUAGAACAAACUACCAAGACUUUCAGAUCAAUCCUAUUUGCAGUAAACAGAUCAAUCCAAUUUGAUGCAUAAUAUGAACAUGGCUAUAAUCAUAUAAAUCUGCCACAGGAACUCUGUAGUCUAGGUUGCUAGUUUACUAUAGAAUACUAUAGUACUUACUAUAGUAUCCCUCAACCAUGUGUAGUACUUACUAUAGAAUUGUGUAUUAUACUAUAGAAUACUAUAGUAAAUACAGUAUACUACAGAGCGCAAAAACACUACAGUAAAUACUACAAUAAUGUCCUCAAAAACACUACAGUUGUCACGUUGUUCGUAAUAAUGAUGGUCGGACCAAGGCGCAGCGUACAUAGAGUUCCACAUACUUUUAAUGAAUAAAGUGAAACUUAAGCAAAUACAAAACAAUAAAGAAUAAACGAACGAUGACGACAAUUCAGUGCUAACAAGCAACUAAACAUAAACAAUAUCCCAUAACCCACAGGUGGAAAAAAUGCUGGGGCCGCCACUGGUGGUACCGGGCUGGUGACACGCACCUCAGGGCGAGCGAGGAGUAGGCAACGGACGCACCUGACUGGAAAAACGCA